UUACAAUUAGCUUAGCUGGCUAGAGCAUGGUACUAAUAACACCAAGCUUGUGGGAUCAAGCCCCAUACAGGCCA
rnacentral:tRNA from 1 species